UUUUCAUUUAAGGAAAUAAAAAAUGUUGUGGAACACCAUGUGGAGGACGAGCAUGCACUAAUCCUAUAAAGGGUGAUCGUACUGGAUGUCCAACGUGUUUCAACAGCCAAUCGAGUGCAGGUUGUCCCGCGUGCAUACAAUAUCAGCAGCUGUGCAACUCAGACAAAGAGUGUAAUCGAGGUCAUCUUUGUUGUUUCAACCCUUCCUGUGGUACAUCAUGUAAAAGAAAAUAUGGUCGAUAAAUCAUUCUUUAUUGGUAACCAAAGAACCCACGAAAAAUCUUACAACGGUUAUGAUGAGCUUAUAUUUCAUUCUUUCGAUUAUGACUUAACUAAUUGGGUCAAUCAUAGAAAUAAAG